rnacentral:tRNA from 1 species
GGCCGCGUGGCCUAAUGGCUAAGGCGCUAGAUUUCGGUUGAGACUCACCUCCUCUAGAGAUUCCAGGUUCGACUCCUGGCGUGGUCG